UCCUAGAGAUAGGACGUUCCCCUUCGGGGGACAGAGUGACAGGUGGUGCAUGGUUGUCGUCAGCUCGUGUCGUGAGAUGUUGGGUUAAGUCCCGCAACGAGCGCAACCCUUGUCCUUAGUUGCCAGCAUUUAGUUGGGCACUCUAAGGAGACUGCCGGUGACAAACCGGAGGAAGGUGGGGAUGACGUCAAAUCAUCAUGCCCCUUAUGACCUGGGCUACACACGUGCUACAAUGGAUGGUACAAAGGGCUGCGAGACCGUGAGGUUUAGCCAAUCCCAUAAAACCAUUCUCAGUUCGGAUUGUAGGCUGCAACUCGCCUACAUGAAGCCGGAAUCGCUAGUAAUCGUGGAUCAGCAUGCCACGGUGAAUACGUUCCCGGGCCUUGUACACACCG
rnacentral:rRNA from 1 species